CUACGAAGGGUGCAAGCGUUAAUCGGAAUUACUGGGCGUAAAGCGUGCGCAGGCGGUUUUGUAAGACAGUGGUGAAAUCCCCGGGCUCAACCUGGGAACUGCCAUUGUGACUGCAAGGCUGGAGGGCGGCAGAGGGGGAUGGAAUUCCGCGGGUAGCAGUGAAAUGCGUAGAUAUGCGGAGGAACACCGAUGGCGAAGGCAAUCCCCUGGGCCUGCACUGACGCUCAUGCACGAAAGCGUGGGGAGCAAACAGGAUUAGAUACCCUGGUAGUCCACGCCCUAAGCGAUGUCAACUGGUUGUUGGGGAUUUAUUUUCUCAGUAACGAAGCUAACGCGUGAAGUUGACCGCCUGGGGAGUACGGCCGCAAGGUUAAAACUCAAAUGAAUUGGCGGGG
rnacentral:rRNA from 1 species